rnacentral:misc_RNA from 1 species
ACAGCUCCGAGCAGAGCACCAGAAGGAGGGUUGCGCAGCAGGGAUUGAUGUUAUCACUGGAUCUGUGGGAGAUAUGGCUGAGCUCGGCAUUUCUGAAGCUUUUAAAGUUAAGCAGGCCAUAUUACUCUCUGCAACUGAGGCUGCUGAAAUGAUUCUCAGAGUGGACGAAAUCAUUACUUGUGCCCCAAGAAGGAGAGAAGACAGAAUGUGAAAUCUAGGACGUUUUUUUCUGGACAAGGACAUUUGUUGUAAUGCUCUCGGUUUUCUUGGCAUUUGCAAGGCAUCAGUACCGCAUUGAUAUUAAUUUCACCGAGGAUUCCUCGUGAUUUUUUUGAGCUUCAGUUGUGUUCCGGAAACGCAGCCAUUGUUACCGAAUUCUUGCAUUUUGGAAUUAAUAGCAAUUAUAUCUCGAGUGUUUUAUGAUGCAUAGUGCAUGAUAGGCCAAAAUUGGUGAUAUCUUAAUUCUGAUUCUGCUGAAUGGCGCGUACGACCUAGUUAUGGCUCUCUGAGUUGUGAAAUUGUUCUACGUGUAACUCGUUAUUUUAAGGUGCUAGUUCAGUGGUCAGACUCUUUAAUUUUAUGACUUUUAUUUUGUAUAUUGAUGCGGAAUCGGCCAUGGUACGGAUUGAAAUUUAUUAAAAUUAAAGAGUCUGACCACUGAACUA